UUUCCGUAGGUGAACCUGCGGAAGGAUCAUUAUCGUACAAAAUGUGAGGGCCAUGCGAGGGCUGUAGCUGACCGUAAAGUCGUGCACGACAGAGUGCGUCCUAUUGCAUAAUAAUCCAUCUCAACCUUUGUGCAUCACCGCGUGGGCACCCUUCGGGAUUAACUCGGAAGGGGGCUAGCGAAUACACACAAAAACGCCUUUUAAAAGUGUAGAAUGACUACAUUAAGCAAAUGAAUACAACUGUAAACAACGGAACUCUAGGCUCUGCCAUCGAUGAAG
rnacentral:misc_RNA from 1 species